UACGGAGGAGGCAAGCGUUAUCCGGAAUUAUUGGGCGUAAAGCGUCCGUAGGUGGCACUUCAAGUCUGCGGUCAAAGACCGGGGCUUAACCCUGGAAAGGCCGUGGAAACUGAAGUGCUAGAGUGCAGUAGGGGUAGAGGGAAUUCCCGGUGUAGCGGUGAAAUGCGUAGAGCUCGGGAAGAACAUCGGUGGCGAAAGCGCUCUACUGGACUGCAACUGACACUGAGGGACGAAAGCUAGGGGAGCGAAUGGGAUAGAAACCCCGGU
rnacentral:rRNA from 1 species